AUGCUACCUUCCGCUUCUCCACUGGCUUCUAAGAGGAAACAGGCACCCACUGAGCCCGUACAAGCCCCAGCUCAACAUGCCGGAGAGAACAAAGACUUCACACAAAGAAGUGGGCUUUUCCAAGCCCUGCAGCCACUGGCUCCUGAAGAGAGAUGCUUCGGCAGCCGGGGUCCGCUUCCUCGCCCAGAUGCCCCGUCCACCCCCUCCCAUCUCCACGGCUUCACUCCAGGGCUAGGAAAUGACGAGGCUGACCUAUGGAGGCCUUGGAAUCCUGGACUCUCUCCAGGGGUCUUCCACUCAGCUGGCAGGGCAGAGCCCAAGUCAGGGACAACCAGAGAUGAAAGUCCAGAGGGAUGGGGCUGGUUCUCUAGGACCGAGGCCCCAGUGCUGCAAAUAGAAACACACAUAAACCACUGUGAGAUGUCCAAUAGCGCUUUGCAUUCUCCUCCAAGUUGAGCUGCAGAUGGUAGGAGUUUUGGUCCUCAUGCCAUCCAUUCUGAAGAGCCCAAAGGUGGAUUUUUCCAGAUUUCUGAUGCACGGAAUCUGAGAAAGCCACAUGUAAUCCCACUAGCAGAUGAGGACAAUCCUUCUGUGUCCUGAUUCAUCUCAGCAAGUCUUUCCUCAGCAUGAACGGGGGUCAGGAACCCCGCCAGAGCCCGCAGAGCAAACCAAGGUGAUGCAGCCGCAGCCCGGCCCUCCUGGUGCUCACAAGCUACGGUGCACACAAGCUGCUGUAGGUCAAGGUGGCCUAGGGUGGGCAUGACACACCCUAGGGCAUGACACACGUGGGUGGUCUCACGCCAGCUCCAUGGGCCACCACCUGUGCAGUCACACGGGGCCUGGUGCCCAGAGGGGCACUUGGUUAAUGCUCUGCUCUCCCUGGUUUGAGAAAGUGAAAGUCGUUCAGUUAUGUCCGACUCUUUGCGACCCCAUGGACUGUAUAGUCCAUGGAAUUCUCCAGGCCAGAAUACUGGAGUGGUAGCCUUUCUUUUCUCCAGGGGAUAUUCCCAACCCAGGGGUUUAACCCAGGUCUCCCGCAUUGCAGGCAGAUUGUUUACCAGCUGAGCCACAAAGGAAGCCCAGUUUGAAGUUCUUAAUAAUUUUUUCAUAAAGUGUUAGUUGCUCAGUCAUGUCCGACUCUUUGUGACCCCAUUGAUUUAUAGCCUGCUAGGCUCC
rnacentral:lncRNA from 1 species